rnacentral:tRNA from 1 species
UAGAAAGUGGUGUAGAGGAAGCACCUGGAGUUUUGAUCUCCAGAGGAAGGGUUCAAUUCCCUUGUUUCUAA